ACGGGUGAGUAACACGUAUCCAACCUGCCGUCUACUCUUGGACAGCCUUCUGAAAGGAAGAUUAAUACAAGAUGGCAUCAUGAGUCCGCAUGUUCACAUGAUUAAAGGUAUUCCGGUAGACGAUGGGGAUGCGUUCCAUAGAUAGUAGGCGGGGUAACGGCCCACCUAGUCUUCGAUGGAUAGGGGUUCUGAGAGGAAGGUCCCCCACAUUGGAACUGAGACACGGUCCAA
rnacentral:rRNA from 1 species